rnacentral:rRNA from 1 species
AUUGAACGCUGGCGGCAGGCUUAACACAUGCAAGUCGAGCGGAGAUGAGGUGCUUGAACCUUAUCUUAGCGGCGGACGGGUGAGUAAUGCUUAGGAACCUGCCGAUUAGUGGGGGACAACAUUCCGAAAGGAAGGCUAAUACCGCAUACGUCGUACGGGAGAUGGCAGGGGAGCUUCGGACCGUGCGCUAAUAGAUGAGACUAAGUCGGAUGAGCUGGUUGGUGGGGUACAGGCCUACCAAGGCGACGAUCUGUAUCGGGUCUGAGAGGAUGAUCCGCCACACUGGGACUGAGACACGGCCCAGACUCCUACGGGAGGCAGCAGUGGGGAAUAUUGGACAAUGGGGGGAAACCUGAUCCAGCCAUGCCGCGUGUGUGAAGAAGGCCUUAUGGUUGUAAAGCACUUUAAGCGAGGAGGAGGCUACUGAGACUAAUACUCUUGGAUAGUGGACGUUACUCGCAGAAUAAGCACCGGCUAACUCCGUGCCAGCAGCCGCAGUAAAAC